rnacentral:rRNA from 1 species
AUGCACGCUGGCGGCGUGCCUCACCCCUGCCAGUCGCACGAAGCACCUUACCUGAUUCUUCGGAUGAAAGUUUGGUGACUGAGUGGCGGACGGGUGAGUAACGCGUGGGUAACCUGCCCUGUACAGGGGGAUAACAGCUGGAAACGGCUGCUAAUACCGCAUAAGCGCACGAGGAGACAUCUCCUUGUGUGAAAAACUCCGGUGGUACAGGAUGGGCCCGCGUCUGAUUAGCUGGUUGGCAGGGUAACGGCCUACCAAGGCAACGAUCAGUAGCCGGUCUGAGAGGAUGAACGGCCACAUUGGAACUGAGACACGGUCCAAACUCCUACGGGAGGCAGCAGUGGGGAAUAUUGCACAAUGGGGGAAACCCUGAUGCAGCAACGCCGCGUGAGUGAAGAAGUAUUUCGGUAUGUAAAGCUCUAUCAGCAGGGAAGAUAAUGACGGUACCUGACUAAGAAGCUCCGGCUAAAUACGUG